rnacentral:misc_RNA from 1 species
GUUCUUUGCAGACUUAAGCAAGCAAAUUUCUCUACUAAUCAUGGAAGAUGAUGAGGACUCAGUUGCAAAUUAUCCUUCAGUUUCUUUCCAGAAUUUCUCAAGAGCGAAUUACCCAACAGCACCAUCGCCAUUUAUGUAUGAGCAAAGAAGAGAAAGCAAAGGAACAGGAGUUUUCAUUCCAAGGUCAUCACAGCCAAGAAGGAAACACAGGCAAGCAAGACAUUCUUCAUUCAACGCAAAAUCUCAUAGGCAG